UACAGAGGUCUCAAGCGUUGUUCGGAAUUACUGGGCGUAAAGGGCUCGUAGGUGGCCAACUAAGUCAGACGUGAAAUCCCCCGGCUCAACCGGGGAACUGCGUCCGAUACUGGUGGGCUCGAAUCCGGGAGAGGGAUGUGGAAUUCCAGGUGUAGCGGUGAAAUGCGUAGAUAUCUGGAGGAACACCGGUGGCGAAGGCGGCAUCCUGGACCGGUAUUGACGCUGAGGCGCGAAAGCCAGGGGAGCAAACGGG
rnacentral:rRNA from 1 species